rnacentral:lncRNA from 1 species
UCCUGUCCACUAGUACCAAGGGAAACCUCUGUUGUGGAAGGCUCCGACAUUAUAGGAAGAGAUAUAGUUUUGGAUUUGUCCUUCUGUCCGCGGUGCUGUCCUUGCGAGUCGGAAUGCUCAAUAGUCUUCGCCACUAUCGGUGCUACUGCCAUUAGAGAAGACUCGCUUUGUUGCUGAGGCGCUUGACGUGGUCGAUAGACCUUUGUGAUUUGUUUUGGAGUUUGCUGACAAGCUCCAUUUGCAUGACCAAAAGAUAAGCAAUGCUGACAUCAUUGUGGCUUCCAGGAAUAUGAGACAUGUACCUUCCGAGUGUUCCCGUCAAGAUCACGAUAGAAAACCUCAUUUGGAAGAUCUUCGUCGGAAGAAACCAGUACACAUGCUCGUGCAAAUGCUAAUCUCGUCUGAGCAGCU